GACGAACGCUGGCGGCGUGCCUAAUACAUGCAAGUUGAGCGAUGAAGCUUGGUGCUUGCACCAAUUUGAAGAGCAGCGAACGGGUGAGUAACGCGUGGGGAACCUGCCUUUGAGCGUGGGACAACAUUUGGAAACGAAUGCUAAUACCGCAUAACAACUUUAAACAUAAGUUUUAAGUUUGAAAGAUGCAAUUGCAUCACUCAAAGAUGAUCCCGCGUUUUAUUAGCUAGUUGGUGAGGUAAAGGCUCACCAAGGCGAUGAUACAUAGCCGACCUGAGAGGGUGAACGGCCACAUUGGGACUGGGACACGGCCCAAAAUCCUACGGGAGGGAGCAGGAAGGAAUCUUCGGCAAUGGACGAAAGUCUUACCGAGCAACGCCGCGUGAGUGAAGAAGGUUGUCGGAUCGUAAAACUCUGUUGGUAGGGAAGAACGUUGGUGAGAGUGGAAAGCUCAUCAAGUGACGGUAACUACCCAGAAAGGGACGGCUAACUACGUG
rnacentral:rRNA from 1 species